CCUACGGGUGGCAGCAGUGAGGAAUAUUGGUCAAUGGGCGCGAGCCUGAACCAGCCAAGUAGCGUGAAGGAUGACUGCCCUACGGGUUGUAAACUUCUUUUAUAAAGGAAUAAAGUGAUGCACGUGUGUCUUUUUGUAUGUACUUUAUGAAUAAGGAUCGGCUAACUCCGUGCCAGCAGCCGCGGUAAUACGGAGGAGCCGAGCGUUAUCCGGAUUUAUUGGGUUUAAAGGGAGCGUAGAUGGGUUGUUAAGUCAGUCGUGAAAGUUUGCGGCUCAACCGUAAAAUUGCAAUUGAUACUGGAAGUCUUGAGUACAGAUGAGGUAGGCGGAAUUCGUGGUGUAGCGGUGAAAUGCUUAGAUAUCACGAAGAACUCCGAUUGCGAAGGCAGCUUACUAAGCUGCCACUGACGUUGAUGCUCGAAAGUGUGGGUAUCAAACAGGAUUAGAUACCCUUGUAGUC
rnacentral:rRNA from 1 species